rnacentral:rRNA from 1 species
UACGAAGGGUGCAAGCGUUACUCGGAAUUACUGGGCGUAAAGCGUGCGUAGGUGGUGAGUUAAGUCUGAUGUGAAAUCCCCGGGCUCAACCUGGGAAUGGCAUUGGAUACUGGCUCGCUAGAGUGCGGUAGAGGGUGGUGGAAUUCCCGGUGUAGCAGUGAAAUGCGUAGAGAUCGGGAGGAACAUCUGUGGCGAAGGCGGCCACCUGGACCAACACUGACACUGAGGCGCGAAAGCGUGGGGAGCAAACAGG